CCCUUAGAUGUUCUGGGCCGCACGCGCGCUACACUGAUGCAUUCAACGAGCCUAUCCUUGACCGACAGGUCCGGGUAAUCUUUGAAUCUGCAUCGUGACGGGGAUAGAUUAUUGCAAUUAUUAAUCUUCAACGAGGAAUGCCUAGUAGGCGCAAGUCAUCAGCUUGCGUCGAUUACGUCCCUGCCCUUUGUACACACCGCCCGUCGCUCCUACCGAUUGGGUGUGCUGGUGAAAUGUUCGGAUCGGCCGUUUGUCGCGGUUUCCGCGUCAUGUGACUGAGAAGUUCAUUAAACCCUCCCACCUAGAGGAAGGAGAAGUCGUAACA
rnacentral:rRNA from 1 species